UUCCGAAGUAUUGAGUUCAGGUCAGGGCAGCUUCCCUGUUCUGUUAAUUAAACUUCAGGACAUGGAAAUGGGCUAGGGAAAAUGACUGACUAGAAAAUAUUACUCUAUUCAUUUAUCUCCCAGCCUACAAAA
rnacentral:snoRNA from 1 species